ACAGGUGCUGCAUGGCUGUCGUCAGCUCGUGUCGUGAGGAUGUUGGUUAAGUCCCGCAACGAGCGCAACCCUUGUCUUAGUUGCCAUCAUUCAGUUGGGCACUCUAAAGAGACUGCCGGUGUCAAACCGGAGGAAGGUGGGGGAUGACGUCAAGUCCUCAUGGCCUUUAUGACCAGGGCUACACACGUACUACAAUGGCCGGUACAAAGGGCAGCCACUUAGCGAUAAGGAGCCAAUCCCGUAAAGCCGGUCUCAGUCCGGAUUGGAGUCUGCAACUCGACUCCAUGAAGUUGGAAUCGCUAGUAAUCGCAGAUCAGCACGCUGCGGUGAAUACGUUCCCGGGCCUU
rnacentral:rRNA from 1 species